CAGUAGCGCGGGAAUACGAAGGGGGCUAGCGUUGCUCGGAAUGACUGGGCGUAAAGGGCGCGUAGGCGGCGAUCAAAGUCAGGCGUGAAAUUCCUGGGCUCAACCUGGGGGCUGCGCUUGAUACUUGGUUGCUUGAGUGGGGAAGAGGGUCGUGGAAUUCCCAGUGUAGAGGUGAAAUUCGUAGAUAUUGGGAAGAACACCGGUGGCGAAGGCGGCGACCUGGUCCUUGACUGACGCUGAGGCGCGAAAGCGUGGGGAGCAAACAGGAUUAGAUACCCGGGUAGUCCCUGUCUCUUAUACA
rnacentral:rRNA from 1 species